GGAAUGUCGGGAGUACGGAUGGUGUUUUCACCGGUAGAUAUGGAGCAGGGGAGCAUCGGAUGUCUCGAUUUAACCACGCUGCAUUUUGGUCCGACUCUCCUUCGACGGAAGAAAGCCGUAACAGAAUCACCCACCGCAACUGGACCAAGCAGCGUGGUGACAGGCAGCGACAGCAGAAGCAACAAAGAGAGGAAUGGACAUGGGAGGAUGAAUUGUUCGGAGAAGGACCCUGGGAUCAGCCUGGAGAAUAUCGCCGCCCCAAAGAAAAACUGGAGGCGGCGAGAGCUGAGAUGCGAUGGUAUGAGGAGAAGCAACAGCGGCAGCAGGAGCAACAAUAUCGGGACUACACUACUUGGGAGGAAAUAGACAGGUGGGCUGUCGACCCAGAGAAAGUGCCGGAGCCCGCCUGGGAUUCGCUGGAGCAGUGCAAAGCAGGUUAUCGGAGAAUGGAGUUGGCGAAGCAGGCAUGGCGGCGUGGACGGGAGACAGAGAGUCAGCCCCAAAAAUGUAUUGGGGGGGGGGCUCAGGGAGAGAGUGGCAGAGUCAGGAGUCAGACCUGAGCCAACUCUCUCUGUUUAUAGUGAGGAGCCAAGGAGGAGACCAGAACCAGAGCAGGUGUUAGAGGUGAGCGAAGCAGAGACUGUGAAGGAGUUAAUGGGGAAAUUGGAGGAGAGAGUAAUGAGGGAGUUGCUAGUUUGGUGCUUUAGGUACGAUAUUCGUCCGACGGAGCGAGUCGGGGAUUUGAUGGCACCUGGGUCAGCGCUCCAUACUCGUCUUGAGGUGCGUGUUAGUCGGCUGGUGAAGAGUGUGCCAGCCUCACGCACUAGGCCUCCUGUGUACCUACCUAGCCUUGCACGUCCUGUGCCAGUCCUGCUCUCAGGCUCUCCAGUACACCUUCACGGUCCGGUCCAUCCUGUGCCACCUUCACACACCAGUUCUCCGGUGGCAGCUCCCCGCACCAGGCUUCCUGUGCGUGUCCUCGGUCCAGUACCACCAGUUCCAGCACCACGCACCAGGCCUUCAGUGCGCCUCGCCUGUUCAGCGCAGCCAGAGCCUUUCUCCUCUCCAGUGCUGUCGGAGUCUCCCACCUGUUUAGCGAUGUCGGAGCCUCCCGCCUGUUCAGCGCAGCCAGAGCCUUCGUCCUCUCCUGCGCUGCCGGAGUCUCCCGCAUGUUCAGCGCUGCCAGAGCCUUCCUCCUCUACAGCGCUGCUGGAGUCUCCUGCCUG
ensembl:lncRNA